rnacentral:sRNA from 1 species
GCUGGGUGUGGUGGCACAUGCCUGAAAUCCCAGCAGCUUGGGAGGCUGAGACAGGAGGAUCGUGAGUUCAAAGCUGGCCUCAGCAACUGUGAGGCGCUAAGCAACUCAGUGAGACCCUGUCUCUA